rnacentral:rRNA from 1 species
GAUGAACGCUGGCGGCGUGCUUAACACAUGCAAGUCGAACGGUGAAGGCGGAGCUUGCUCUGCUGGAUCAGUGGCGAACGGGUGAGUAACACGUGAGCAAUCUGCCCCUGACUCUGGGAUAAGCGCUGGAAACGGCGUCUAAUACUGGAUACGAGCUGCGAAGGCAUCUUCAGCAGCUGGAAAGAACUUCGGUCAGGGAUGAGCUCGCGGCCUAUCAGCUUGUUGGUGAGGUAAGGGCUCACCAAGGCGUCGACGGGUAGCCGGCCUGGGAGGGUGACCGGCCACACUGGGACUGAGCGACGGCCCAGACUCCUACGGGAGGCAGCAGUGGGGAAUAUUGCACAAUGGGCGAAAGCCUGAUGCAGCAACGCCGCGUGCGGGACGACGGCCUUCGGGUUGUAAACCUCUUUUAGCAGGGAAGAAGCGAAAGUGACGGUACCUGCAGAAAAAGCGCCGGCUAACUACGUG